rnacentral:rRNA from 1 species
CGUAGGUGGCAAGCGUUGUCCGGAAUUAUUGGGCGUAAAGCGCGCGCAGGCGGUUCCUUAAGUCUGAUGUGAAUGCCCCCGGCUCAACCGGGGAAGGUCAUUGGAAACUGGGGAACUUGAGUGCAGAAGAGAAGAGCGGAAUUCCACGUGUAGCGGUGAAAUGCGUAGAGAUGUGGAGGAACACCAGUGGCGAAGGCGGCUCUUUGGUCUGUAACUGACGCUGAGGCGCGAAAGCGUGGGGAGCAAACAGGAUUAGAUACCCUGGUAGUCCACGCCGUAAACGAUGAGUGCUAAGUGUUAGAGGGUUUCCGCCCUUUAGUGCUGCAGCUAACGCAUUAAGCACUCCGCCUGGGGAGUACGGCCGCAAGGCUG